rnacentral:rRNA from 1 species
CCUACGGGGGGCUGCAGUGAGGAAUCUUCCACAAUGGGCGAAAGCCUGAUGGAGUGACACCGCGUGAAGGAAGAAGGCCUAACGGUUGUAAACUUCUUUUCUGAAGGAGCAUAAUGAGAGUACUUCAGGAAUAAGGAGCGGCUAAUCACGUGCCAGCAGCCGCGGUAAUACGUGAGCUCCGAGCAUUACCCGGAAUUACUGGGUGUAAAGAGUUUGUAGGCGGAAAGAUAAGUUGUGUAUUAAAGACCGAAGCUUAACUUCGAGUUUGUGCACAAAACUGUUAUUCUAGAAUCAGGGAGGGGUAAGCGGAAUUCUGAGUGUAGGGGUGCAAUCCGUAGAUACUCAGAGGAACACCAAAAGCGAAGGCAGCUUACUGGAACUGUAUUGACGCUCAAGAACGAAAGCGUGGGGAGCGAAAAGGAUUAGAUACCCAAGUAGUC